CAACAGUGGCCAAGGCAGAGAUAUUCUUAUACCUCAACCCGUUGUGCAGAUGGAAGUCUGGCCAAAAAACCACAAAGCAUCAAGUCUGACUGUGAGUCAAUCUGUCAGCACAAGUACAAGAUUGGUUUGCCAUGGCUCUUUGAAACAGUUACUCUUGUCCUCAUUGUAGAGAUGGCGAUACUAAGGCAGAAAAUGUUUCUCUUGUUCAUCGGACC